rnacentral:sRNA from 1 species
AGCAGCCGCGGUAAUUCCAGCUCCAAUAGCGUAUAUUAAAGUUGUUGCAGUUAAAAAGCUCGUAGUUGAAUUUCGGGACCAAUAUGUUGGUCGUGCCUCGGUACGCACUGGCAUUAUUGGUUUCUCCCUUCUGACGAACUACGAUGCCAUUAAUUUGGUGUCGUAGGGAAUCAGGACUGUUACUUUGAAAAAUUAGAGUGUUUAAAGCAGGCUCGCGCUUGAAUACAUUAGCAUGGAAUAAUGAAAUAGGACGUUUGAUUCUAUUUUGUUGGUUUCUAGGAUCGACGUAAUGAUUAAUAGGGAUAGUUGGGGGCAUUAGUAUUCAAUUGUCAGAGGUGAAAUUCUUGGAUUUAUUGAAGACUA